UUCUGGCUCAGGACGAACGCUGGCGGCGUGCCUAAUACAUGCAAGUCGAACGGUCUUUCUAUGGAAGCUUGCUUCCACUGAGAAGAUAGUGGCGAACGGGUGAGUAACACGUGGGUAACCUGCCCAUAAGAGGGGGAUAACAUCCGGAAACGGGUGCUAAUACCGCAUAGUUUUCUUGAUCGCAUGAUCGGGAAAGGAAAGACGGCCUUUGUGCUGUCGCUUAUGGAUGGACCCGCGGCGUAUUAGUUAGUUGGUGAGGUAACGGCUCACCAAGACGAUGAUACGUAGCCGACCUGAGAGGGUGAUCGGCCACAUUGGGACUGAGACACGGCCCAAACUCCUACGGGAGGCAGCAGUAGGGAAUCUUCCGCAAUGGACGAAAGUCUGACGGAGCAACGCCGCGUGAGUGAAGAAAGGUUUUCGGAUCGUAAAACUCUGUUGUCAGAGAAGAACAAGUUGGAGAGUAACUGCUCCAGCCUUGACGGUAUCUGACCAGAAAGCCACGGCUAACUACGUGCCAGCAGCGGC
rnacentral:rRNA from 1 species